rnacentral:tRNA from 1 species
AUCUUUUUAGUAUAAUAUGUACGCUUGGCUUCCAACCAAAAAGUCUAACUAAGUUAGAAAAGUUA